CAAAACUGUUCAGAAAAAUAGGCACCGAGGCGGCAGCGGAGAUGUAAGGCUGCCGAACGGCCAAAAAGAGGCCAAGCAGGACCUGCGCCCACCAAAGCUGUUUCUUCCUACGGCCCUGGUGCAUCACACGCACAAGCACGAAAAGUACGAGACAAAAAAAGGGAGGACUUCUUUUUUUUCCUUCCCUUUUUUUUUUUCCUUACCAACCCGCCUUCCCUCCCCUGCAGCCAGCUGCCUCUCGGCUGGUGCACGACCGAAAGCAAGAGGGGCGCGAGCGGUCUUCCAGCCCCGCCAGUGCGCGGGGCCGGAAACCUGAGCCGUCAAAAGCAGAGGAGAUUUUCACUGGCCACUUAACCCGCUCUUCGACACUCAGGAGAAAAGCUACUUGAAUCCUUUCCCAGCACCAGAGCCCUUCUAGCCACCGAAAGUAUCUGCCCAGGAAUGCGAGAUACAGGCCCAACAAGCACGUUUUAAAACAAGACAAGGGUGUGUUUUUAAGCUGUCCUUCAGUUCGACCUAUAUUUAAGUAACACCAGGGUAAUUUGUUAUGACUGAGGAUUUUUAUCAGUUCAGUAACUCCAAAGCUGCGGUGCUACGCUGGUAUAAACUCUCCCCUUACCAAAUCAUUUCAGCCUCUUUGCCCCAGAAACAGCUGCAUGAUAUGAAGAAAAGGGACCGGAAAAGAGGGCCACACUGGAGAAAAGGAGAGUGAGGAGCCAGAGGAAGGACUGGGAUACCUGGCUGUACAGAUUGCUAACUCAGCUAGUGUCAUGGACAGUUUAUAACUAACAGUUUUUAACUGAGGUGCAAUGGGAAGGGUAGGACAACAUCCUCAUCACCCUGCCUGGUUAAACCAACCCUCUGCAAGAGAACCAAGAACUGGCUCACAGUGAAUUUAUCCGGACUUUGAACAUGCCUCCUCGCUGCCUUUCAGCUGCUUCCGGAUGGGGCUGCCACAAGACCAGACAGGUAGAAAGCGCAAGGAACCCAUUACUGUUGCAUCUCUGUAAGAACCAGAAAAGCAAUGGACAUUUGCUCCAGGUCUGUCAAAUAGAUGCAUUGCUCGGUGGGGAACACAGCAGGAACAGCAAGUUAUAAAUAUUCAGGUAAAUCUUAAAUCCAGACAUACCCCUUCUAUAUAACUAAUAAUCUCAGGAGAGCUCUAUGCUCUUCAGCCAUUUCUCUCCCUGAAGAGAAGGCAAGGAAAGAAAUUCAAUCCCAUAACUUGAAUGAGGCCUAUUUAAUCCACUCCUGAAUACCUGCCAAAUACAAAAGGAACUAGUACCACAGCCAGGCUAAGUGGUG
rnacentral:lncRNA from 1 species